rnacentral:tmRNA from 1 species
GGGGGUGUUUUGGUUUUGACAGCGCCAGUGUUGGAUGGUAAGCACGCCGGGCGUGGGAGCCUUGCCCGUAAAUCUCAGACUCCAAAAAAUCAGUUGCCAACAACAACUACGCACUCGCUGCUUAAUUAGCCUAAGGCAAUUAGCUUAAUCCGCCGCGCCAAGGUUGCGCCGCCGACGAGUAUCCCUCGGCCCUUCCGCCUCUUAAGGGCCCCUCAAGGGGUAUCAUCCAUUUGAGGCUGCUCCGGAGGAUGCCUUUAAAUCCGGUCAAGACCUAAAGGCUAAGGGUGAGUCCCGCCCGCCUUCCGGCAAGCUCAUCACAAAAACCAAAGGACGGAUAAGCGUGUAGAAAGCCACCUGGCAGGACGUUUGGACAGCGGUUCGAGUCCGCUCACCUCCACU